GUUAUAUCCUUUCAAAAAGAGGAAGCACUUUGCCUGUGGUUCACAAUUAAAUUCUGAAGGAUGGAUUAGUAAUGAGUUUGUUUGUGAUUCACCUAAGAAGGGCUGCAAUGGAGAUGCUGCUGGUUCCUGUUCAAAGAUGCAUGCUGGUCUUUUUUCUCAUUUCUGCUCUGAUAUUUGCAUUAGUUUUUGGGAUUUACUUCUAUUUAUAAUCUUUUAAUGAUGAUCCUAAUUUCUCAUGCAGCUAUUGGGGCCUCAUCUUCUGUUGCAGGUCAGCACAGUUCAUUCCGACCUAGGCAUUCUCACGUGAAGCUUAGGAUAA
rnacentral:misc_RNA from 1 species